GUGUCAGCAGCCGCGGUAAUACGAAGGGGGCUAGCGUUGUUCGGAAUUACUGGGCGUAAAGCGCGCGUAGGCGGUGAUCCAUGUCAGAGGUGAAAGCCUGGGGCUCAACUCCAGAAUUGCCUUUGAAACGGGAUCGCUAGAGUCCGAGAGAGGAUGGCGGAAUUCCUAGUGUAGAGGUGAAAUUCGUAGAUAUUAGGAAGAACACCGGUGGCGAAGGCGGCCAUCUGGCUCGGUACUGACGCUCAGGCGCGAAAGCGUGGGGAGCAAACAGGAUUAGAUACCCUGGUAGUCC
rnacentral:rRNA from 1 species